AAUGAACGCUGGCGGCGGGCCUAACACAUGCAAGUCGAACGAGUGGCGGACGGGUGAGUAAUGUCUGGGAAAUUGCCUGAUGGAGGGGGAUAACUACUGGAACCGGUAGCUAAUACAGCAUACCAUCAGAUGUGCCCAGAGGGGAUUAGCUAGUUGCUGGGGUAACUGCUCACCAAGGCGACGAGCCCUGGCUGGUCUGAGCGGAUGACCAGCCACACUGGAACUGAGACACGGUCCAGACUCCUACGUGAGGCAGCAGUGGGGAAUAUUGCACAAUGGGCGCAAGCCUGACUGAGCCACGCCGCGUGUAUGAAGAAGGCCUUCGGUUUGUAAAGUACUUUCAGCAGGGAAGCGUUACCCACAGAAGAAGCACCGGCUAACUCCGUGCCAGCAGCCGCGGUAAUAC
rnacentral:rRNA from 1 species